UACGAAGGGGGCUAGCGUUGCUCGGAAUCAUUGGGCGUAAAGAGCGCGUAGGCGGCCCGGAAAGUCGGAUGUGAAAACCCGGGGCUCAACCCCGGGCCUGCAUCCGAUACUCCCGGGCUGGAGGCAGGUAGGGGAGAUCGGAAUUCCUGGUGUAGGCGGUGAAAUGCGUAGAGAUCAUGAGGAAGACCAGUGGCGAAGGCGGGUCUCUGGACAGUUCCGUGACACUGAGGCGCGAAAGCUAGGGGAGCAAACGGG
rnacentral:rRNA from 1 species